UUGUAUUGACUUUACAGUGCUUAGGUAUGU
rnacentral:piRNA from 1 species